AGUGAACGCUGGCGGUAGGCCUAGCACAUGCAAGUCGAACGGCAGCACAGUAAGAGCUUGCUCUUACGGGUGGCGAGUGGCGGACGGGUGAGGAAUACAUCGGAAUCUACUUUUUCGUGGGGGAUAACGUAGGGAAACUUACGCUAGUACCGCAUACGACCUACGGGUGAAAGCAGGGGAUCUUCGGACCUUGCGCGAUUGAAUGAGCCGAUGUCGGAUUAGCUAGUUGGCGGGGUAAAGGCCCACCAAGGCGACGAUCCGUAGCUGGUCUGAGAGGAUGAUCAGCCACACUGGAACUGAGACACGGUCCAGACUCCUACGGGAGGCAGCAGUGGGGAAUAUUGGACAAUGGGCGCAAGCCUGAUCCAGCCAAACCGCGUGGGUGAAGAAGGCCUUCGGGUUGUAAAGCCCUUUUGUUGGGAAAGAAAAGCAGCAGGUUAAUACCCCGCUGUUCUGACGGUACCCAAAGAAUAAGCACCGGCUAACUUCGUG
rnacentral:rRNA from 1 species